AAUGAACGUUGGCGGCGUGGAUUAGGCAUGCAAGUCGAGCGCGAACCCCGCAAGGGGUGAAAGCGGCGAAAGGGAGAGUAACGCGUGGGUAUUUACCCUCGGGACUGGGAUAGCUGCGGGAAACUGCAGGUAAUACCAGAUGACGUCCCCGGACCAAAGGUGUGAUUCCGCCUGAGGAUAAGCCCGCGUCCUAUUAGCUAGUUGGUGAGGUAAUGGCUCACCAAGGCAAUGAUGGGUACUGGGUGUGAGAGCACGACCCAGCUCACUGGGACUGAGACACUGCCCAGACACCUACGGGUGGCUGCAGUCGAGAAUCUUCGGCAAUGGGCGCAAGCCUGACCGAGCGACGCCGCGUGUGGGAUGAAGGCCUUCGGGUUGUAAACCGCUGUCAGAGGGGAGGAAUGGGCGGAGGGUAAUCUCUUCGUUUUGACCCAUCCUCAGAGGAAGUACGGGCUAAGUUCGUGCCAGCAGCCGCAGUAA
rnacentral:rRNA from 1 species